rnacentral:rRNA from 1 species
GACGAACGCUGGCGGCGUGCCUAAUACAUGCAAGUAGAACGCACAGUUUAUACCGUAGCUUGCUACACCAUAAACUGUGAGUUGCGAACGGGUGAGUAACGCGUAGGUAACCUGCCUGGUAGCGGGGGAUAACUAUUGGAAACGAUAGCUAAUACCGCAUAAUAUUGAUUAUUGCAUGAUAAUUGAUUGAAAGAUGCUAUUGCAUCACUACCAGAUGGACCUGCGUUGUAUUAGCUAGUAGGUGAGGUAACGGCUCACCUAGGCGACGAUACAUAGCCGACCUGAGAGGGUGAUCGGCCAAACCGGGACUGAGACAAGGCCCAGACUCCUACGGGAGGAAGCAGUAGGGAAUCUUCGGCAAGGGACGAAAGUCUGAACGAGCAAAGCCGGGUGAGGGAAGAAGGUUUUCGGAUCGGAAAGAUUUGUUGUGAGAGAAGAACGGGUGUGAGAGUUGAAAGUUCACAAUGUGACGGUAACCUACCAGAAAGGGACGGCUAACUACGUG